UACAGAGGUCUCAAGCGUUGUUCGGAUUCAUUGGGCGUAAAGGGCGCGUAGGCGGCAAGGCAAGUCGGGUGUGAAAGCUUGGGGCUUAACCCCGAAAGGGCACUCGAAACUGCCCUGCUAGAGGGCCGGAGAGGAGAUCGGAAUUCACGGUGUAGCAGUGAAAUGCGCAGAUAUCAGGAGGAACACCGGUGGCGAAGGCGGUUCUCUGGGCAUUACCUGACGCUGAGGAGCGAAAGCUAGGGGAGCAAACGGG
rnacentral:rRNA from 1 species